UGGGGAAUAUUGGACAAUGGGCGAAAGCCUGAUCCAGCCAUGCCGCGUGUGUGAAGAAGGUCUUCGGAUUGUAUAGCACUUUAAGUUGGGAGGAAGGGUACUUACCUAAUACGUGAGUAUUUUGACGUUACCGACAGAAUAAGCACCGGCUAACUCUGUGCCAGCAGCCGCGGUAAUACAGAGGGUGCAAGCGUUAAUCGGAAUUACUGGGCGUAAAGCGCGCGUAGGUGGUUUGUUAAGUUGGAUGUGAAAGCCCCGGGCUCAACCUGGGAACUGCAUCCAGAACUGGCAGGCUAGAGUAUGGUAGGGGGGGGUGGAAUUUCCUGUGUAGCGGUGAAAUGCGUAGAUAUAGGGAGGAACACCAGUGGCGAAGGCGACCACCUGGGCUGAUACUGACGCUGAGGUGCGAAAGCGUGGGGAGCAAACA
rnacentral:rRNA from 1 species